UCUUUCCUGCAUAAUUGUGUGCUUCACUGGCCUGACACUGGGAAUGAAUUUAGCUCACCCGAGGCUCAGCUGGAGAUGGGGUGGCUUUCGAGCAGCUUACGCUCCGUCCCAGCGCAUCACCCGGCAUUGAUUGAUCGCCUUUACUGCAGGCUCUGACAAGAGAGAUUAUCCUAGUGAAGGCUCAGAGGCAGCGUGCAGCAUGGAACAAGUUCUGCUCAGCGCUCCUGGUGCCUGCCUGCUGCCCUCAGCCAGCACUGAACAUUCGCACGGUGCUCCCUCGGAUUGCAGCAUCUUUCUGUUUUCCUACAAUGCAGACUCAUCCUGGUUUGUUUCUGAGCGAAUUGCUUUUUUGUUCGUGUUGCAUAUUCCCUAAACAGUCAUAUUAGUGGUGACAGCAUGUCAUCUUGAUGGUGUUAUGACAGUAUGACGCCAAACUGGUAUUAACAUAACAUUUCCUUCUAAAUCUUGUCUGAAAACAUAUUGUUCUCCCUUGCCAGCACUUCUCUGCUUCUCUCACCCCUUACCAUGGGUGCUGGUUUGUUGUCUUUUUUGUUUCAUCUCCCUUGUUGCGUGGGGCUGAUAAGCAGCCUCUGCAGAAGCGUUUCGCUGAUUGUUCAGGGGAUGAGGCUGAGGCAGAGAAGCACAAACCCAUUCCCCCCAACACCACCCAAAGCUCUGUGGGGUGGAACCCCCACGCCCACAUUCCCUUGGCUGUCAUCCUCCUUCCUCUUCUGCUUUGCCUUGCUCAGAUUUAUGGAGUUUAGAUUUAUGGAGUUUAGAUUUAUGGAGUUUAGGUUGAAAGAUGCACAUUGCUACCAUGGAGUUAUUUGUGUUUCUCCUACGUUUCCUUUUACAACUUCAGUUUAAAGGUGGAUGCUGAUGUCCCCCAAAUCACAGAACCAUAGAAUCAUUAAGGUUGGAAAAGACCUCCAAGUGCAACUAUCAACCCAUCACCACUGUGUCCACUAAACCAUGUCCCCCAAAAUGGGAAGCCAGUCCUGAAUUCAGAAAGCUGUGAAGUGGGGAGAACUGUAACUGGGGGUUGAGGGGCUCCUGUGCAGGAGGGAGAUGGGCACACUCUCCGGCUUUUUUGACUGCACUGCCUGUCUGAUGUCGUGCAGAGAUGGAGCAGGUUUGACAUGCAGGUCAGAACUGUUGGCUAAAUAAGAGACCUUUUUCUUUUCAAUGAAGGAAAAAUAGAUCUGGUUUGCCCAGGAGGAGAUUCUCAAGUUAAAAGUGAGCAACAGGAGAGAAGAAAUCACACAGCAAGAUGUGCACCCUUGGGAAAAGCCUUUUGCCUCCCCAGUGGGACAAACACGCUCCUGCCCAGGUUGGCUUAGGUUGUGUCUGGCUGCAGCAUUUUUCUGCCAAAUUC
ensembl:lncRNA